UACGUAGGGUGCAAGCGUUAAUCGGAAUUACUGGGCGUAAAGCGUGCGCAGGCGGUUUUGUAAGUCUGUCGUGAAAUCCCCGGGCUCAACCUGGGAAUUGCAUUUGAAACUACAAGGCUAGAGUGUGUCAGAGGGGGGUAGAAUUCCACGUGUAGCAGUGAAAUGCGUAGAGAUGUGGAGGAAUACCGAUGGCGAAGGCAGCCCCCUGGGAUAACACUGACGCUCAUGCACGAAAGCGUGGGGAGCAAACAGG
rnacentral:rRNA from 1 species